ACUCAUUCUGCUGCCACCCUCUGAAGACGUGCCUUCCGCCAUGAUUGUAGGUUUCCUGAGGCCUCCCCAGCCAUGCAGAACUAUGUUCUGGAAGAGGAUGUCUGUAAUCCUGCCCCUGUGAGGCACUGAUGGUGAUGUGCUACACUCUGUCCCACAUCAGCCUUUUUCAACCCUAGUUGUAUUGGAAUCAUGUUUUUCCCGGGAUGUCAAAGAUAAACUGGAGUUUCAAUCUUGCUAUCUUAACAAGAACAGAGGGAGAACAAAGAAUAAAACAAGAAAAUAAAGCUGACUAUAUUAAAAGAACAGAGACUAUGGAAAUGAUGUUAGACAAAAAACAAAUUCCAGCAAUUUUCUUAUUUGAGUUCAAAAUGGGUCAUAAAGCAGUGAAGACAACUUGCCACAUCAACAACACAUUUGGCUCAGGAACUGCUAACAAAUGUACAGUGCAGUGGUGGUUCAAAUUUUGCAAAGGAGACAAGAGCCUUGAAGAUGAGGAGCAUAGUGGCUGGCCAUCAGAAGUUGACAAAGACCAAAUGAAAGCAAUUAUCGAAGCUGAUUCUCUUACAACUACUCAAGAAGUUGCCGAAGAACUCAAUGUCGAUCUUUCUACAGUAGUUUGGCAUUUGAAGCAAACAGGAAAGGUGAAACAGCUGGAUAACUGGGUGCCUCAUGAGUUGAGCGAAAAUAAAAAAAAUCGUCGUUUUAAAGUGUCAUCUUCUCUUACUCUACACAACAACAAACGAACCAUUUUUUGAUCGGAUUGUGAUGUGCGACAAAAAGUGGAUUUUAUAUGACAACUGGCGAUGACCAGCUCAGUGGUUGGACCGAGAAGAUCCAAAGCACUUCCCAAACUCAAACUUGGUGACUGUUUGGUGGUCUGCUGCCGGUCUGAUCCACUACAUCUUUCUGAAUCCUGGUGAAAUAAUUACAUCUGAGAAAUAUGCUCAGCAAAUCUAUGAGGUGCACCAAAUACCGCAAUGCCUGCAACCAGCACUGGCCAACAGAACGGGCUCAAUUCUUCUCCACGACAACUCAGGACCACACGUCGCACAACCAAUGCUUCAAAAGUUGAACGACUUGGGCUACAAAAUUUUGCCUCAUCCACCAUAUUCACAUGAUCUCUUGCCAACUGACUACCACUUCUUCAAGUAUCUCGACAAUUUUUGUUUGUUUGUUUUGCAGGGAAAACCUUCUACAACCAGCAGGAUGCAGAAAAUGCUUUCUAAGAGUUUGUCAAAUCCCGAAGCACAGAUUUUUAUGCUACAGGAAUAAACAAACUUAUUUCUCAUUGGCAAAAAUGUGUUAAUUUUAAUGGUUCCGAUUGUGAUUAAUAAAGAUGUAUUUGAGCCUA
rnacentral:lncRNA from 1 species